AAUCAACGCUGGCGGCGUGCCUAACACAUGCAAGUCGAACGCGAAAGGGACUUCGGUUCUUAGUAGAGUGGCGUACGGGUGAGUAACGCGUGGGUAAUCUACCCUUGGGUGGGAAGUAACGUAAUACGAAGGUUAGACUAAUACCGCAUAAUACAGUGAUGUCAAACAGUAAAUGUGCCCGAGGAGGAGCCUGCGUCUGAUUAGGUAGUUGGUGGGUACGG
rnacentral:rRNA from 1 species